AUUUAAUUGAUUAUGCUUCGUCAUCGGCGAUUUAUUAGGGUUCAGGUGGCCAAAAUUCCGGUUGAAAACAUCUGGCCGUUUGUGUAAGGAGAGCUUGAGAUAUCGGAGGGCCUAGAAAUCUCCGAACUACACUUCUCUUUAU